GAUGAACGCUGGCGGCGUGCUUAACACAUGCAAGUCGAACGGAAAGGCGCGGCGUUUGUUCCGUUCUCGAUUGCCGAGCACGUGAGUGACACACGAGGAUCCCCCACUUAACUGUGUGGGAACUUCACGGAACUCGGGCGAAUAUACCGGAUGAUCUCCUGCUCCAUGUGGGUGGAUGGAGAGAUACGGCUGUGGUGGAUGUAUUCGAGGGUUAUCAGCUUGUUGGGGGAGUUGUGGCGUACCAAGGCUUUGAAGGGUACGCUGCCUGAGAGGGUGACCGGCCACAUUGGGACUGAGAUACGGCCCAGAAUCCUACGGGAGGCAGCAGUGGGGAAUAUUGCAGAAUGGGCGGCAGCGUGAUGCAGCAACGCCGCGUGCGGGAUGACGGCCUUAGGGUUGUAAACCGCUUUCGCAUGUGACGAAGCGUGAGUGACGGUAAUGGGUAAAGAAGCACCGGCUAACUACGUG
rnacentral:rRNA from 1 species